GACGAACGCUGGCGGCGUGCUUAACACAUGCAAGUCGAACGGUGAAGCAGGAGCUUGCUCUUGUGGAUCAGUGGCGAACGGGUGAGUAACACGUGAGUAACCUGCCCUUGACUCUGGGAUAAGCGUUGGAAACGACGUCUAAUACUGGAUACGAACCUCCGCCGCAUGGUGAGGGGUUGGAAAGAUUUUUUGGUCAAGGAUGGACUCGCGGCCUAUCAGCUUGUUGGUGAGGUAAUGGCUCACCAAGGCGACGACGGGUAGCCGGCCUGAGAGGGUGACCGGCCACACUGGGACUGAGACACGGCCCAGACUCCUACGGGAGGCAGCAGUGGGGAAUAUUGCACAAUGGGCGCAAGCCUGAUGCAGCAACGCCGCGUGAGGGAUGACGGCCUUCGGGUUGUAAACCUCUUUUAGUAGGGAAGAAGCGAAAGUGACGGUACCGGCAGAAAAAGCACCGGCUAACUACGUGCCAGCAGCCGCCGUAAGAC
rnacentral:rRNA from 1 species